rnacentral:tmRNA from 1 species
GGGGGCGAAACGGUUUCGACGGGGUCAAUGAACUUGAAGGAGCGAGCCGAGGUCCCGGAGCCGCGUCAAAAAACCGGACAAGCAGAAAUGCCAAUAACGAAUUUGCACUUGCUGCUUAAUUAAUAAGUAGCCGUCCGAAUAGCUUUUUGGUCUGGUGGGCUAUGAAGGGCGUCAGAAAAUCGGACCUUACCCGUGGAUAUGCUCCGAAUUCUCGGGGACAUAUAGGAGCUUGGACAGUCGGACUCUGCCUGUGAAGUCUUGACUGUUGACGAUGAUCACAGGCUGCGCUCGGAGAGCCUGCAAGGAAUUUGGUUUCGGACGCGAGUUCGACUCUCGCCGCCUCCACCA